GAGUUUGAUCAUGGCUCAGAAUUAACGCUGGCGGCAUGCCUAACACAUGCAAGUCGCACGAGAAAGCCCGGUUCGCCGGGCGAGUAAAGUGGCGCACGGGUGAGUAACGCGUGGAUAAUCUACCUCGUUCUGGGGGAUAACCCAUCGAAAGGUGGGCUAAUACCGCAUAAUCCGGCUUUUUUUUUGAAUUGGUCGGCAAAGGUGGCCUCUUGAUCAAAGCUACCGGGAAGAGAUGAGUCCGCGUCCCAUUAGCUAGUUGGUAGGGUAAUGGCCUACCAAGGCGACGAUGGGUAGCUGGUCUGAGAGGACGAUCAGCCACACUGGAACUGGUACACGGUCCAGACUCCUACGGGAGGCAGCAGUGAGGAAUAUUGCGCAAUGGGGGAAACCCUGACGCAGCGAUGCCGCGUGAGUGAAGAAGGCCUUCAGGUCGUAAAGCUCUGUCAAGUGGGAAGAACAGCUUUAGGGCUAAUAUCCUUAAGGUCUGACGGUACCACUGAAGGAAGCACCGGCUAACUCCGUGCCAGCAGUCGCGGUAAGACGGAGGGUGCAAGCGUUAUUCGGAUUUAUUGGGCGUAAAGAGCGUGUAGGCGGCCGGUCAAGCCAGAUGUGAAAGCCCAGGGCUUAACCCUGG
rnacentral:rRNA from 1 species